rnacentral:rRNA from 1 species
AUACGUAGGGUGCAAGCGUUAAUCGGAAUUACUGGGCGUAAAGCGUGCGCAGGCGGUUUUGUAAGACAGAGGUGAAAUCCCCGGGCUCAACCUGGGAACUGCCUUUGUGACUGCAAGGCUAGAGUACGGCAGAGGGGGAUGGAAUUCCGCGUGUAGCAGUGAAAUGCGUAGAUAUGCGGAGGAACACCGAUGGCGAAGGCAAUCCCCUGGGCCUGUACUGACGCUCAUGCACGAAAGCGUGGGGAGCAAACAGGAUUAGAUACCCUGUUAGUCCACGCCCUAAACGAUGUCAACUGGUUGUUGGGUCUUCAUUGACUCAGUAACGAAGCUAACGCGUGAAGUUGGCCGCCUGGGGAGUACGGCCGCAAGGUUGAAACUUAAAUGAAUUGGCGGGG